AACCCUUUCUGGUAGGGGAGAAAGUAUGAUAACAACGGUGAUUUUCCCAGGGUGUGGUCAUCUCCAUUGCACUCCAAGUGUGUUGCACCAGUAGUUUUUCCAGAUCUGUGAAACUCAACUGCAUAAUGAGUC
rnacentral:snRNA from 1 species